GCAGCAGCAGCAGCAGCAAAACGCGGUAUUGCGUUCCAUGCUACCUGAAUCUCCUCAUCACGACGCUCGAAAAUCACCUCCGACUUGGCUCAAUACUUCUCUCCUUCGUCAACAACACAGUCAGUUUGGUAACGCAUCCUCACCUUCCUCGGCUGCAGCUGCAGCUGCCGUAGCCGGAGGGAAUAAUUUCCUUCAUCUCCAGACAUCUAACUCCGACUCGUCAAACUCUAACCAGUGGCUCUCACCUACUGCGGCGGCUGGAGGUGGAGGUAACGGCGGUGGAGGUGGGCAUAAUGAUGAGUUAUCAGAGUCGAUGAAUUUUGCGAAGAAGAUGAGUCAACAGCAUAGUGGAGGAGGAGAAGAAAACAAUAAUAAUAAUAAUAAUA
rnacentral:misc_RNA from 1 species